rnacentral:rRNA from 1 species
UACGUAGGGUGCAAGCGUUGUCCGGAAUUAUUGGGCGUAAAGAGCUCGUAGGCGGUCUGUCGCGUCGGCUGUGAAAACCCGCGGCUCAACCGUGUGGUCUGCAGUCGAUACGGGCAGGCUAGAAUUCGGUAGGGGAGACUGGAAUUCCUGGUGUAGCGGUGAAAUGCGCAGAUAUCAGGAGGAACACCGGUGGCGAAGGCGGGUCUCUGGGCCGAUAUUGACGCUGAGGAGCGAAAGCGUGGGGAGCAAACAGG